rnacentral:rRNA from 1 species
UACGUAGGGGGCCAGCGUUGUCCGGAUUUACUGGGCGUAAAGCGCGCGUAGGCGGACGCUUAAGUGUGGCCUGAAAGCCCCCGGCUCAACCGGGGAGGGCGGCUGCAAACUGGGCGUCUUGAGGGACCGAGAGGCGUGUGGAAUUCCGGGAGUAGCGGUGAAAUGCGUAGAGAUCCGGAGGAACACCCGUGGCGAAGGCGGCACGCUGGCGGUUCCCUGACGCUGAGGCGCGAAAGCGUGGGGAGCGAACGGG